UACAGAGGGGGCAAGCGUUAUUCGGAAUUAUUGGGCGUAAAGGGCGCGUAGGCGGCUUGGCAAGUGGAUGGUGAAAUCCCUCGGCUUAACCGAGGAACUGCCGUCCAAACUGCUUUGCUUGAGACCGGGAGAGGUGAGUGGAAUUCCCAGUGUAGCGGUGAAAUGCGUAGAUAUUGGGAGGAACACCAGUGGCGAAGGCGGCUCACUGGACCGGUACUGACGCUGAUGCGCGAAAGCGUGGGGAGCAAACGGGG
rnacentral:rRNA from 1 species